GUGCUCAUUUCAGCAUCACAUAUGCUAACAUUGGAAUGAUGCAGAGAAGAUUAGCAUGAGCCCUGUGCAAGGAUGACACACAUUUGUAAAGUGUUCAAAAACAGUUUU
rnacentral:snRNA from 1 species